UACGUAGGGGGCAAGCGUUGUCCGGAAUUAUUGGGCGUAAAGAGCGCGUAGGCGGUCCGAUAAGUCGGCUGUGAAAGUCCAGGGCUCAACCCUGGAAAGCCGGCCGAUACUGUCGGACUAGAGUCCGGAAGAGGCAAGUGGAAUUCCCGGUGUAGCGGUGAAAUGCGCAGAUAUCAGGAGGAACACCGGUGGCGAAGGCGGGUCUCUGGGCAGUAACUGACGCUGAGGAGCGAAAGCGUGGGGAGCAAACAGGAU
rnacentral:rRNA from 1 species